CAGUAGCGUAUACUAAAGUUGUUGCAGUUAAAAAGCUCGUAGUUGAAUUUCUGUGUAGUGUACUUGCGGUCUUCGGACCAAUAUGCACUGCACAUCCAUCUGAACAGCACUUCUCGUCAUUCAUUUGUCGGUUGUGUGAUCAGAUACUUUACCUUGAGAAAAUAGAGUGUUCCAAGCAGGCGUCCGCCUGAAUAAUAAAGCAUGGAAUAAUACAAUAGGACUGGGUUCUAUUGGUGCAUAGAACUUAGUAAUGAUUAAUAGGGACAGUUGGGGGCAUUCGUAUUUAAUUGUCAGAGGUGAAAUUCUUUGAUUUAUUAAAGACGAACCUAUGCGAAAGCAUUUGCCAAGGAUGUUUUCAUUAAUCAAGAACGAAAGUUAAGGGAUCGAAGACGAUCAGAUACCGU
rnacentral:rRNA from 1 species